rnacentral:tRNA from 1 species
GGGGAUAUAGCUCGGUGGUAGAGCAUGUUAACACGCAGGAGGUCCUGGGUUCAAUCCCCAGUAUUUCCA